UACCAGCACCCCGAGUGGUCGGGACGAUUAUUGGGCCUAAAGCCUCCGUAGCCGGUUUUACAAGUCCCCCGUUAAAUCCAGCUGCUUAACAGAUGGGCUGCGGAGGAUACUAUAAGACUAGGAGGCAGGAGAGGCUAGCGGUACUCAGUGGGUAGGGGUAAAAUCCGUUGAUCCAAUGAAGACCACCAGUGGCGAAGGCGGCUUGCCAGAAUGCGCUCGACGGUGAGGGAUGAAAGCUGGGGGAGCAAACCGG
rnacentral:rRNA from 1 species